rnacentral:rRNA from 1 species
GACAGAGGGUGCAAACGUUGCUCGGAAUCACUGGGCGUAAAGGGUGCGUAGGCGGCGCGGUAAGUCGGGUGUGAAAUCUCGGAGCUUAACUCCGAAACUGCAUUCGAUACUGCCGUGCUUGAGGACUGGAGAGGAGACUGGAAUUUACGGUGUAGCGGUGAAAUGCGUAGAUAUCGUAAGGAAGACCAGUGGCGAAGGCGGGUCUCUGGACAGUUCCUGACGCUGAGGCACGAAGGUCAGGGGAGCAAACGGG